AGAGUUUGAUCCUGGCUCAGGAUGAACGCUGGCGGCGUGCCUAAUACAUGCAAGUCGAGCGAACAGAUAAGGAGCUUGCUCCUUUGAAGUUAGCGGCGGACGGGUGAGUAACACGUGGGUAACCUACCUAUAAGACUGGGAUAACUUCGGGAAACCGGAGCUAAUACCGGAUAACAUUUAGAACCGCAUGGUUCUAAAGUGAAAGAUGGUUUUGCUAUCACUUAUAGAUGGACCCGCGCCGUAUUAGCUAGUUGGUAAGGUAACGGCUUACCAAGGCGACGAUACGUAGCCGACCUGAGAGGGUGAUCGGCCACACUGGAACUGAGACACGGUCCAGACUCCUACGGGAGGCAGCAGUAGGGAAUCUUCCGCAAUGGGCGAAAGCCUGACGGAGCAACGCCGCGUGAGUGAUGAAGGGUUUCGGCUCGUAAAACUCUGUUAUUAGGGAAGAACAAAUGUGUAAGUAACUGCGCACAUCUUGACGGUACCUAAUCAGAAAGCCACGGCUAACUACGUG
rnacentral:rRNA from 1 species